rnacentral:rRNA from 1 species
UACGUAGGGUGCAAGCGUUAAUCGGAAUUACUGGGCGUAAAGCGUGCGCAGGCGGUUUUGUAAGUCUGUUGUGAAAUCCCCGGGCUCAACCUGGGAAUGGCAAUGGAGACUGCAAGGCUAGAGUUUGGCAGAGGGGGGGUAGAAUUCCACGUGUAGCAGUGAAAUGCGUAGAUAUGUGGAGGAACACCGAUGGCGAAGGCAGCCCCCCUGGGUCAAAAACUGACGCUCAUGCACGAAAGCGUGGGGGAGCAAACAGG